UAUGAAAUAAACUUGACUAUUGCUUAAAAGGUGAACGCCAAUCAAUGUUGUCAUGGUAGAAUUUAUUACUCAAAACUCAGAAAAAGAAAUGUCAUAUUUCUUUGGUCUGAAUCAAAUGAGAUUUGUUUUUUAUUCUGCACUCUCCAAGAUAGUGGGAAAUUCCAUCUCAUUCGUUUUUUUAAAAUUUUUAUUUUGUGUUCUGGGUUACAUGUGCAGGAUGUGCAGGUUUGUUACAUAGGUAAAAUGCACCAUGGUGGUUUGCUGCACCUAUCAACUCUUCACCUAGGUAUUUACAAGCCCGACAUACAUUAACUAUUUUUUCCUAAUGAGAGGUGACAACGUGCUAGCAGCCCUCGCUCACUCUCAGCACCUCCUGGGUCUUGGCGUCCACUCUGGCCAUGCUUCAGGAGCCCUUCAGCCCACCGCUGCAGUGUGGGGGCCCCUCUCUGGGGCUGGCCAAGGCCAGAGCCAGCUCCCUCUUCUUGCGGGGAGGUGCGGAGGGAGAGGCUCGGGCAGGAGUCGGGGCUGCGGGUGCAGGUUCCGAGUGGGCACAGGCUCGGUGGGCCCCUCAGUGCGGCCAGCCAGCACCUGCUGGGCUUGAUCGGGGGACAAGCUCCCUCUGGGCUGCUGGACUGCCUGGCUAGGUGCGACAAAGUCCCAUGGUGAGUGCCACUGAGAAGUGAAGCAGGCUGGGCUUCUGGGUCGGGAGGGGACUUGGAGAACUUUUCUGUCUAGCUAAAGGUUUGUAAAUGCACCAAUCAGCACUGUGUUUCUAGCUAAAGGGUAGGGGACUUGCAGAACUUUUGUGUCUAGCUAAAGGAUUGUAAACGCACCAAUCAGCACUCUGUGUCUAGCUAAAGGUUUGUAAAUGCACCAAUCAGUGCUCUGUCAAAAUGGACCAAUCAGCUCUCUGUAAAUGGACCAAUCAGCUCUCUGUAAAAUGGACCAAUCAGUAGGAUGUGGGUGGGGCCAGAUAAGGGAAUAAAAGCAGGCCACCCUAGCCUGCAGCGGCAAACCAUUCCAGGCCCCUUUCACGCAUUGGAAGAUUUGUUCUUUCAGUUUUCUCAAUAAAUCUUGCUGCUCCUCACUCUUUGGGUCUGUGCCACCUUUAUGAGCUGUUAACACUCACCACGAAGGUCUGCAGCUUCACUCCUGAAGCCAGCGAGACCACAAACCCACGGGGAGGGACAAACAACUCUGGAGGGGAGGAAUGAACAACUCCAGAUGCACCACCUUUAUGAACUGUAACACUCACCAUGAAGGUCUGCAGCUUCACUCCUGAGGCCAAUGAGACCACAAAUCCAUGGGAAGGAAUGAACAACUCCAGACAUGCCACCUUUAAGAGCUUUAAUACUCACUGCGAAGGUCUGCUGCUUCACCCCUGAAGUCAGCGAGACCAUGAACCCACCAGAAGGAAAAAACUCCUGACGCAUCUGAACAUCAGAAGGAAUGAACUCCGGACACACCAUCUUUAAGAACUCUAACACUCACCAUGAGGUCUGCGGCUUCAUUCUUGAAGUCAGCGAGACCAAGAACCCACCAAAUUUGGUGACCCAGGUGGGAUUAUCGCCUAUCACCAAGCGGUGAGACCAUCGCUAAGUGGUGAGAACAUCGCCUAUCGCUAAGCGGUGAGACUAUCGCCUAUUGCCAAGCGGUGAGUACCACUGGACCCCUUUCGCUUGCUAUUCUGUCCUAUUUUUUCCUUAGAAUUGGGGGGCUAAAUACUGGGCACCUGUUAGCCAGUUAAAAGCAACUAGUGCGGCCACUGGACUAAAGACACGAGUGUCAGGCUUUCUGGGAAAGGGCUCUCUAACAACCCCCAACUCUUCGGAGUUGGGAGCGUUGGUUUGCCUGGAACCAUCUUCCACUUUUCCUGUACUUCCGGGCUGAGGCGAGGGUCAACAGAGAGGAAAGCCGUUCAGCUCUGGGGUCCUGAGAACAAGUUGGUUGACUCUGCAGCCGUGAGCGGAACUCUCACAGGCAUGUUGCCCAAGUGAGACUUGCCCAUCUAUUCUAUCUACCCUGACCCUCCUAGGUCCUAAUGCAUGUCAGGCAAACUUCCUCUCACUUCUCUUUCCCGAGGCUAGUCCUGCUUCUAAAAAUCACUCCCUGUCUCUGGUGCUUUUCUAGUUUCUCCUAUAAGAAUGAUUUCUAGUAUAAAUUCCAGGACUUUGUUACCUUCUUUAGGUGCUUGGGUUCACUAAUCAGAAAGACAUAAUUUUUCCCAAAGCACCAUUGUAGUGGGGACGAUCUGGAAUUUUAGUAUCCCUUCUCAGACUAGCAGGCCUAGCAAAAGCUAUUCCUGAAGCUAGGAUAUGGGGAGCCUCGGAAAUUGUAUCAUUCCUAUUCAUAUAAGUGAGGACAAAAGGUGUCACUCUUCCAACCCUGGAGAACCCUAUCCUCCCACAGGGUAUGGCCCUCCACUUCAUUUUUGGGGCAUAACAUCUUUAUAGGUCAGGGGUAAGGUCCCAGUAGUAACAGGAGAAUGCUUAGGACUCUAACAGGUUUUUGAGAAUGCGUCAGUAAGGGCCACUAAAUCUGACCUUCCUCAAUCCUCCUUGUGGUCUGGGAGGAAAACUAGUGUUUUUGCUGCUGCAUUGGUAAGCACAACUAUUCUGAUCAGCAGGGUCCAGGGACCAUUGCGGGUUCUUGGGCAGGGGUUGUUUCUGCUGCUGUGUUGGUGGGCGCAACUAUUCUGAUCAGCAGGGUCCAGGGACUGUUGUGGGUUCUUGGGCAGGGGGAGAAACAAAACAAAUCAAAACCGUGGGCAGUUUUGUCUUUCAGAUGGGAAACACUGAAGCAUCAACAGGCUCACCCUUGAAAUGCAUCCUAAGCCAUUGGGACCAAUUUGAUCUACAAACCCUGAAAAAGAGGUGGCUCAUUUUUUUCUGCACUAUAGCCUGACCCCAAUAUUCUCUCUCUGAUGGGGAAAAAUGGCCACCUGAGGGAAGUACAAAUUACAAUAUUAUCCUGCAGCUUGACCUUUUCUGUAAGAGGGAAGGCAAAUGGAGUGAAAUACCUUAUGUCCUAGCUUUCUUUUCAUUGAAGGAUAAUACACAACUUUGCAAAGCUUGCAAUUUACAUCCCACAGGAGGACCUCUCAGCUUACCCCCAUAUCCUAUCCUACCUAUAGCUCCCCUUCCUAUUAAUGAUAAGCCUCCUCUAAUCUCCCCUACCAAGAAGGAAAUAAGCAAAGAAAUCACCAAAGGACCAUAAACCCCCCCACCCUGGGCUAUUGGAUAUGUCCUCUUCAAGCUGUAGGGGGUGGGGAAUUUGGCCCAACUUGGGUACAUGUCCCCUUCUCCCUCUCUAAUUUAAAGCAGAUCAAGGCACACCUGGGGAAGUUUUCAGAUGAUCCUGAUAGGUAUGUCCUACAGGGUCUAGGGCAAACCUUUGACCUCACUUGGAAAGGUAUCAUGCUACUGUUAGAUCAAACCCUGGCCUUUAAUGAAAAGAAUGUGGCUUUAGCUGUAGCCUGAGAGUUUGGAGAUACCUGGUAUCUUAGUCAAGUGAAUGAUAGAAUGACAACUGAAGAAAGGGACAAAUUCCCUUCCGGUCAGCAAGCUCUCCCUAGUAUGGAUCCCCACUGGGACCUCAACUCAGAUCAUGGGGAAUGGAGUUGUAAACAUCUGUUGACCUGUGUUCUAGAAGGACUAAGGAGAAUUAUGAAAAAGCCCAGGAAUUAUUCAGUGAUGUCCACCAUAACUCAGGGAAAGGAAGAAAAUCCUUCUGCCUUCCUCAAGUGGUUACAGGAGGCCUUGAGAAAAUAUACUCCCCUGUCACCCAAAUUGCUUGAGGGUCAAUUGAUUCUAAAAGAUAAGUUUAUUACCCAAUCAGCCGCAGCUAUCAGGAGAAAGCUCCAAAAGCAAACCCUCAGCCCUGAACAAAAUUUGGAGGCACUAUUAAACUUGGCAAUCUUGGUGUUCUAUGAUAGGGACCAAAAGGAACAGGCCCAAAAGGAAAAGCAAAAUCAGAGAAAGGCUGCAGCCUUAGUCAUGGCUCUCAGACGAACAAACCUUGGUGGUUCAGAGAGGACAGAAAAUGGAGCAGGCCAAUCAUCCAGUAGGGCUUGUUAUCAGUGUGGUUUACAAGGACACUUUAAAAAUGAUUGUCCAACGAGAAACAAGCUGCCCCCUUGUCCAUGUCCACUAUGCCGAGGCAAUCACUGGAAGGUGCUGCCCCAGAAGAGAAAGGUUCUCUGGGUCAGAAGCCCCCAACCAGAUGAUCCAACAACAGGACUGAGGGUGCCUGGGGCAAGUGCCAGCUCAUGUCAUCACCCUUACUGAGCCCCGGGUACAUUUAACCAUUGAGGGCCAGGAAAUCGACUUCCUCCUGGACACUGGUGCAGCAUUCUCAGUGUUAAUCUCCUGUCCUGGAAGACUGUCCUCAAGGUCCGUUACCAUCUGAGGAAUGGUACAGAAAUACCUGUAACCAGGUAUUUCUCCCACCUCCUCAGUUGUAAUUGGGAGACUUUGCUCUUUUCACAUGCCUUUCUUGUUAUGCCUGAAAGUCCCACACCCUUAUUAGGUAGGAAUAUAUUAGCCAAAGCUGGAGCUAUUAUCUACAGAAUAUGGGGAAUGAGUUACCCAUUUGCUGUCCCCUACUUGAGGAGGGAAUCAACCAACAGUUUAAAAAUUGAUCUGUUCAUUCAUGUUUUAAGGUUCUUCCUUUUAUUUUCAGAGGCUCUACUGGAAUGUGUCAGGAAAGUGAAAAGUCUCUGGUUGUUAGUCUGCAAUGGCCAUACAGGUAGUUCUUCAAUCAAGACUACAUUGAACAAGGAUGGUGAUGCAGCUUAUACAGCAGAAAACACUGUUGGUGCUGAAAUAGUUCAUAGAAGAGAAUGACUAUAGAUCACUUAAUUAAGGCAAACAUUUACAGAGAUAUACACUUUGAUCAAGUAUGCCUCAGAAACCUUCAGGACUUGAUACCAGUGUUAAAAAGAUAAUUUUGGAAUAUUUCUAAAUAUUUCCUGAAAUCAACAAGAUCAUGGAAAAAUAUCUUUCAUUAAAGUGGUAAGUUGUUACACUAUAUCCGAUAUAAAACCUGGUUUUCCAUCCCUGACUUGGAUAUAUUUCUUUUUCCCCUCCUUAUUUCUCUUGUCGACACCAUCUUGAUGCUGUGUAAAAGGCAAAUGAAAAUGCACAAUCUACUGUAAUCGAACUUCAUUAUUGAUUCCUUUACAAAAACCUUAUUUGGGAGAAGUAUUAUGGAAAUUUAAAAGCAUAUAUGAUCGACCCUGACACUGUGGGAACUUUCAAUUCAACUUUUCAAUCAAAAAAUGACCUGGGUUAUUCAAUUUUUGAAUCGAAAUAAGUAUAGACAUAUAAAAUUUUAUAUCUGCAAGUUAUACUAUAAAGCCAUGUGCUCCAAUUAUAUAAUUUCAUACAUGAGAAAACAUAUAUAAACCACACAAAAGCAUAAUUUUAAGUUCUAGCAGAGCUGCAAAUUGAACUAGGAACUGAUAAUUUCAGGUUGUCCAUUUAGAGUUGGGUAGAAUCAACUAAAGGACGCUUCUUGCAGGAAGGUAAUUUUCUUACUGAAGUGAAAUCUCUGUACAAGACAAUGAUAAAUGUACAAUAUGUAGAGUUUGACAAAUGUGUAUGUUUAUGUAACAAGUAUUUCAGUCUAGGUAGAGCAUUCCCAUUCUGGAAGAUUUUCUAGUGCUCCGUAGAAAACCACCAUUCUGCUUUUUCUUACUGUACUUAAGUUUUGCCUGCUCUUGUACUGUAUAAAUGAAAUUAUAUAGUAUCUACUCCUUUGUGUCUGGAUUUUUGAUCAAUAUAUUGGGUUUGAAAUUCAUUUAUGUUCUUAGUAUUUCAUUUGUUUAUUCAUAUUCUUAUUGAUAAACAUUUGAGAGUUUUUAAUUAUUGGCAACAUAAGGUAAGUGCCUUGCCUAUAGAGUUGAUGCAUAUUUAACUUUAUAAGAAAGUGCCAAACAGUUUUUCAAAGUGCCUUUACCAUUUUAAUUUCUUAUUUGCAAUGAAUGAGUCUCCACUUACUCCCUAUUCUUACCAAUACUUGGUGUUGUGGGCCUUUUUGAUUUUAGCUAUAAUAGUGAGUGUGAAAUAGUAUCAUAUUAUAGUUUAAUUUGGGUUUUCCUGUCAACAGAGUUCAAGAACCUUUUAAUGUUCUUAUUAAUAAUUUGGAUAUUUUCUUUUGUCAGGUUAUCUGUUCAAAUGUUUUACCCAUUUAAAACAUUGGCCUGUGUUU